UGCAAGUCGAACGAUGAUCCGGUGCUUGCACCGGGGAUUAGUGGCGAACGGGUGAGUAACACGUGAGUAACCUGCCCUUGACUCUGGGAUAAGCCUGGGAAACCGGGUCUAAUACCGGAUACGACCUUUCACCGCAUGGUGGUUGGUGGAAAGAUUUUUUGGUUUUGGAUGGACUCGCGGCCUAUCAGCUUGUUGGUGAGGUAAUGGCUCACCAAGGCGACGACGGGUAGCCGGCCUGAGAGGGUGACCGGCCACACUGGGACUGAGACACGGCCCAGACUCCUACGGGAGGCAGCAGUGGGGAAUAUUGCACAAUGGGCGCAAGCCUGAUGCAGCGACGCCGCGUGAGGGAUGACGGCCUUCGGGUUGUAAACCUCUUUCAGCAGGGAAGAAGCGAAAGUGACGGUACCUGCAGAAGAAGCGCCGGCUAACUACGUGCCAGCAGCCGCGGUAAUACGUAGGGCGCAAGCGUUGUCCGGAAUUAUUGGGCGUAAAGAGCUCGUAGGCGGUUUGUCGCGUCUGCUGUGAAAGCCCGGGGCUCAACCCCGGGUCUGCAGUGGGUACGGGCAGACUAGAGUGCAGUAGGGGAGACUGGAAUUUCCUGGUGUAGCGG
rnacentral:rRNA from 1 species